UACGGAGGAUGCGAGCGUUAUCAGGAUUUAUUGGGUUUAAAGGGUGCGUAGGCGGGAUGCCAAGUCAGCGGUAAAAAUGCGGUGCUCAACGCCGUCGAGCCGUUGAAACUGGCGUUCUUGAGUGGGCGAGAAGUAUGCGGAAUGCGUGGUGUAGCGGUGAAAUGCAUAGAUAUCACGCAGAACUCCGAUUGCGAAGGCAGCAUACCGGCGCCCUACUGACGCUGAGGCACGAAAGCGUGGGUAUCGAACAGG
rnacentral:rRNA from 1 species